ACAGAGCCGAGCCCGACCCGAGCGGGGCCGAGCAGAGCCGCCUCACGAAAUGAGGCGAAAAGGUGUUUAAGGGAUUUUAAAGUUUUAAGGAUUUCAGUGUGUUAUUCCAUGAACACGUGAACGCUUAGGAAUGAAAAUCGAUUUAUGGAAGAGCUGACCAGCUUUCUGGGGAGGAUCUAAGACAAACCUGUGAGCUGCACCUUGCAGAAAGGAGGCAAAAAGCCAAGUGGCAGGAGAUCUGCUGAGAAAGCUGAGGAUGACAGUCUCGCAGGGGAGGAGGGAAGGCAGCAGCCAUACAAAUUAGAGUGUCACUGGGAUCCUGGUAAACAGACUGCUGACAGUUUAUCUGGGCAGAGGGAGGAAGGCAGCAGUAAGCAGGAAUUCCAUGGGAAGGAAUUCUCUGGGAAGGACCAGCUCGUUCCUUCAGGGCUGAGUCCUGCCCUGCACCAGCUCCUCCAAUGGUCCCAAAUGCUGAGAGAUCCCAUGGAACACUGGGCAGAGGAAUUCCUAUGGAAGUCAUAUUCCUUGUGUACGGAGCCUGUGGAACCAAGUUCCUCUGAGUGUGCUGCUGAAGAACAUCAGGAACCUUGAGAAGAUGUGUCAGCUGUGCAGGAGACAGCAAAGGUUCUUCUCAGUUAAAAACACAACUCAUAAAACAAGACAACUACCAGGUAAGAAAGAGUUUUGAAAAAGUAAACACCAUAUACAC